rnacentral:tRNA from 1 species
GCCCGGCUUGUGAAUGGUGCCGUUGCCGCCCUCUUUAGGCGGCGUGAACUGGCGGCUUUCCGGCAGCGCCGGGUUGAACUCCAGGGCUGUGCUC